GGUUGGAAGAAGAAACCAUGAGCACUUCAGGGAGAGCUUCUAUAAGGGGGCUGAGCCUUAUAAAAACCAGCUAUGGACCACUAUUCAGGGAGUGAUUUUUAGUCAGGGAUAAAGACCGGGACAGAUACUGCCAGGACUCUUCCAGUCUUAACGGACAGACACGGGGGUCCUGGAUAUGAAAACAAAAGGGGAAGGUACUGGCUAGGGAAGUGAGGACUAUGGGGGUGCACCUCUCUCCAGGCAUGGCUGAACCAGGGACAUCAAUAACAUCAUAAGAUGAUCUUUCUAUGGGUCAGCUCUGGCUUCUCCCCCAAGGAUGCAAAGGUGGCUCUGGCCAUCCUCACAGCCCAGCACUGUGGUGACCAGGGAGUGCUGCCUUCCUGAUGGCUGUGGCCAGACUCCUCAUUAUGACAUGCACAUGACGUCCAGCCAGUGCCCUGUGGAUCUCUGAGCGUAUUACCAUGGACAGGGCUCAGAGUGCUCUGACUGGCAAGAUCUGGGUCACAUUUACAUCUCUGAAGCAGGGAAUGGUCAGCCCCACUCACUCCAGAAGAAUAGGGUGUGGGGGGAGGAGUUAUCUCCAUUUGGAAAGAGCUGUAGGCUUUUCCCUUAAAGAUCAGCUAUUCAUGGCCCUGUUGGCUCAGAAGGUAGUGUGAAUUGUUUUUCUGUCACUUGCAACCAAAAUGAAGACAUGUUUAAAUCCCUGUCUUCCCAGAUAAAUGGUGAGCUCCAAAAGA